rnacentral:piRNA from 1 species
AGGAUCCAGAAGAUUAUGUUACUGCCAUCCU